CGGGGAACUGUAACAAGUAGCGAUACAUGUGGAACUAGGAGAGUGUAUGGUUCAUUCCACGAAAGGGGUCGGUACACAUGUGUAAAGAUGUAGCAUACAAGAAAUUCCAUUCUGGUGACAUAUGAGAGAAAAAAAUAAAACAAUAUAGCUACACUUUCAGAUGUAGUCUAUAAAACAAAACCAGUGAAACGGAGAGAAAAGUUUAACGGACACACACUAUUCCCCCCCUACAUAGUCGAAUUUGGUAGCGUCCACGACUGCCUGUCAUGCCAUUCUUACCGACUGUAGCAGCAGCGCUGCAGCAAUUUUGGAUGCCUGGGAAAUGGGAGAGAGGUAGAGGGGGUGGGGAAGUUAAGCGAAUCCCCAUGCGUAAGAGAGUUGUCCAACUUUUGUCAAGAGAUUAAAGUAACGGCUUAGGUAUUUUACGGUCUUGUGUUCGGCAUUAGGUCGCUUGCUCUGAAAAGAUUCUGGAGUAUUUUCAAAUGUCUUGAUUGCACCGAUUAGUCCCUUAGCCUUUGACGAAGUCUUCUGGGCAAGACUCCCACUGUGAGGAAAGCCACACAGGCAUCAGAGACAUGACAGGCUCUCUCCUAGCCCUAUAGGGAGGAAAAGACGCAGACAUCCAUGGUUGUCACGGUUACAUAACCCCAGUCCUGGCGAACUCUUAAGCAUUCUUAAGGCUCUAAGCUGUGCUGACUGCAGUGAGGUUCCAUCCAUGAACAUGGCAGAGUUAGGGCGUGGAGGAGCUCCUUCACCAGACUGGACCUGGAUCUGUUCUGGCACACUUUCAAACCAAAACUACAGGUCAUUAAGACAUAAGGGAUUGGUAAA